rnacentral:rRNA from 1 species
GACGAACGCUGGCGGCGUGCCUAAUGCAUGCAAGUCGAGCGGGCUACGGUCUUCGGACUGUAGCUUAGCGGCGAACGGGUGAGUAACACGUAGGUAAUCUACCCUUCAGAGGAGGACAACCUCAGGAAACUGAGGCUAAACCUUCAUACGUUCACUGGUAGGGAUACUGGUGAAGAAAGAGUUACCUUAGUGGUAGCUGCUGAAGGAUGAGCCUGCGGCCCAUCAGGUAGUUGGUGAGGUAACGGCUCACCAAGCCGAAGACGGGUAACCGGUCUGAGAGGAUGUCCGGUCACACUGGGACUGAGACACGGCCCAGACUCCUACGGGAGGCAGCAGGUGGGGAAUAUUGCACAAUGGGCGAAAGCCUGAUGCAGCGACGCCGCGUGGAGGAUGAAGGCUUUCGGGUCGUAAACUCCUGUCUGGGGGGAUGAAUAAUGACAGUACCCCCGGAGGAAGCCCCGGCUAACUACGUG